rnacentral:rRNA from 1 species
UAGUAACGGCGAGUGAAGAGGAAAGAGCUCAAAGUUGGAACCUGUUUGGCUUAGCUAAACCGGAUUGUAAACUGUAGAAGUGUUUUCCAGACACGCCUGGUAAAAAAGUCCUUUGGAACAGGGCAUCAUAGAGGGUGAGAAUCCCGUCAUUGGCCAGAGCUGUUGUCUUUUGUGAUACAUUUUCAAAGAGUCAGGUUGUUUGGGAAUGCAGCCUAAAUUGGGUGGUAAAUCUCACCUAAAGCUAAAUAUUUGCGAGAGACCGAUAGCGAACAAGUACCGUGAGGGAAAGAUGAAAAGAACUUUGAAAAGAGAGUUAAACAGUAUGUGAAAUUGUUAAAAGGGAACCGUUUGGAGCCAGACUGGCUUGAUCGUAAUCACUCUAGGCUUUGGCCUGGAUGCACUUGCGGUCUAUGCCGGCCAACGACAGUUUUGUUUGAGGGAAAAAAUUACAUUGAAUGUGGCCCUUCGGGGUGUUAUAGCUUUGUAAAAAAUACCUUGGACGGGACUGAGGAACGCAGCGAAUGCCUUUAGGCGAGAUUGCUGGGUGCUUGCGCUGAUACAUGCUAGAAUUUCUGCUUUGGGUGGUGCUAGUGUGUAAAGGAGUAACCCGCUUAGUAUAUUUUUUAUUCGCUUAGGUUGUUGGCUUAAUGACUCUAAAUGACCCGUCUUGAAACACGGACCAAGGAGUCCACCAUUAGUGCAAGUAUUUGGGUGACAAACCCAUAUGCGCAAGGAAACUGAUUGAUACGAAGGCGCAAGCUGGCAGUAUCACCCGGCGUUGACGUUUUAUACUGAACUGACCGAGGUAAAGCACUAAUGAUGGGACCCGAAAGAUGGUGAACUAUGCCUGAAUAGGGUGAAGCCGGAGGAAACUCCGGUGGAGGCUCGUAGCGAUUCUGACGUGCAAAUCGAUCGUCAAAUUUGGGUAUAGGGGCGAAAGACUAAUCGA